rnacentral:rRNA from 1 species
GAUGAACGCUGGCGGCGUGCCUAACACAUGCAAGUCGAGCGGAGAAUUGUUUCUUGCAACAAUUCUUAGCGGCGGACGGGUGAGUAACACGUGGGUAACCUGCCCUAAACAAAGGGAUAACAAUGAGAAAUCAUUGCUAAUACCGUAUAAGCUUACACUAUCGCAUGAUAGAGUAAGAAAAGAGUUAUCGGUUUAGGAGGGGCCCGCGUCUGAUUAGCUAGGUGGGUAGGUAACGGCUCACCAAGGCGACGAGCAGUAGCCGACCUGAGAGGGUGAUCGGCCACAUGGGGACUGAGACACGGCGCAAACUCCUACGGGAGGCAGCAGUGGAGAAUAUUGCACAAUGGAGGAAACGCUGAUGCAGCAACGCCGCGUGAAGGAAGAAGGUUGUCGGAUCGUAAACUUCUAGCUACAGGGAAGAAAAAAAUGACGGUACCUGAGUAAGAAGCCCCGGCUAACUACGUG